GAAAGGCCAGGUUAUUUAAACUAUGUAUACAUUUUCAUGGAAGCUGUCAAAAUAAGAGCACUUUGGGUUUGCAGCUAGGGUUAAUAUUAUUGUGCUGCAAAUGUGUGAAGAUUGUUAGAGUCGACACAAUACAGUAAACACUUUUAAACCAGAUUUAAACUUUAAUAGUUGUGUUAUAUUUCAUGCUGCCAUGUCAUUUACUCGAAUUUGUCGUUCCAGCAGGUUCACAAGGUUGUGCAUUAUAUAUUUAUUUGUGCAUUAUAUAUAUAUAUAUAUAUAUAUAUAUAUAUAUAUAUAUAUAUAUAUAUAUAGACACACAAGUUAAAUGACACACACACACUUUUUGCAAUACAUCUGCACGAAGUGCAUUGUCAUAAUGUGGAAUCCGUAAAACGACCAUCCAUAUAGGAUCUGUAGCAGUUUUUUUCUUCACAUUACACUGCAUUCAGUUUUUUGCUAAACUGACAGCUGAUUUCCUUUUUUCUUUCAACAGGAGUGACGCGGCAUGUGCUGUGUGGCCUCCAUCAGGAAGCUCACGUCAUGCUUAUGCAUGAAAAACAUGCAUGCUACACAAACGUUAUUUUGACGUUAUAGGCGACAUGUGACUUCACAGUCACAAGAGUGCAGAUCUCACAAAAAGCUGAAUCAGACAGCCUGAGCGUGCCUAUAGACUGUAACACUGGAACAAGACAUUGGGCAGCGCAGCAGGAUUAGUCCUCUUCAAACGUCAAUCAGGCACCGGAUCUGCAUAAUGUAUGAACGUAGUCCUGUGCGGUGAACCACAUCAAAUUUAUCUGUUGAAAAUUAAAGGACAACUUCUCACCCUCGACGUGCAUGUGUUUCAUGCACAGACGCACACACACACAGAGCCUCUUUUUUCUCAGAGAAAUAGUUCUCAUUCAGCUUUUCUCCCUGGUUUAACCUUGUUUGGCAUUUUUCAGUGUGUGUCAGAGGGCGUCUCAGUAUAAAUAAUAAUCUUCCUUUUACCGUGACUAUCACUGGUUUAUCAUGCGGAAGGGAACAUCUGCAAGUACAAGCACAUCUUUUCAGAUCAGAUAAUGAUUCCAAUUUUAAAACAUAUUUCUCUCCCCGAGUUCGAAUGAAGGUAAAGCUGAUUUUGUUGUGUUUGAGAGGGACGCAGUGAGAGAAGUGCGGUGUGAAGGUGGCUCAUGUGUUUUUGCUGCAGGUCUCUCUGAGUGAGUCAGCACUUCACUUCUUAGGAGCCGCACAGACCUGCUGCCCUCUGGUGGUAAACUAUGGUACUGCACGCUCAUCACAGGACAUGAUUUUCUGAGAGUCCUGAGUGGAUCCACACCAACCUCCUCCUUAUGCACAGCAUCAUUCAUCAGAAACUAGGAACAGGCAGCGCCCCCUGCUGGAGACAAACUGGGAGCAUUUAAGGCUGAAAACAGACUUUUUCCUUUCAAUACUAUUGCAUUUAAGAGACCAGACUCAACGUUUCCAUAUUAGAAAGUAAAGACUGAAUGAUGUUAAACGAACCCGGAGAUAACUUCAGAACUGUUUUAUAACAAUACAAAAAGUUUUAAGAGAUGUUACAUGAAAAAGACACAAAUUCCACCGUUAAAUGAAAGCAAAGCAUUGUAUUUAUUAGAUGCUAAAUUAAAUGUUGAAAUACCAAA